rnacentral:lncRNA from 1 species
AAUUCAGCCUGGGUGACAGAGCAAAACUCUGUCUCAAAAAUAAAAGGGGGAAAUAUUCGAUUAAUAAACAACAGCCUCACAUGUGCUCACCACUGGGUUGAAGCAAAGCCUUCUUCCAAAAGCAAAAAUUGGAAAAAUAUGCUACCGACAGACUGCCCCUAAAGGUAAUAUUAAACAGGGACUCCAAAGGCAGAAGAGAAGCUGACCCAAUGCGACAUGAAAAUUCAGGAAGGACACAACAGCGGUGAGAACUCAAGAUAAUGUACGAUGAAGAACUGGCCCGGGGUGACAGGGCUGACCGGGAGCUGAGAAGUCGUCAGGGCCAGUCUCUGUGGCCCAGAGCAGGCCGAUAGAGAGAUCGGGGAGAGCUGUCCUCACCACCUGGAAGUGAGUCCCACCCAGACCUUAUCAAAACUACUCACUCCACCUGGGCCGCUGCUGAAGCCCUAUUUUGAAAUUUCCCUUUUCCAGAGCUUUUUUCCUGUCCUAAGCCCCAUAAAUAAAUGAAGGCACUUCUUUGGAAGGUUAUGGAGUCUGUUUGACUAGUGCUAAAGGAAACAAUUCACGCAGAUGUAUAAAACUUGCUUUUUAAAAAAAAAUUUAACCUAAGCAGAAUUUUCAUAUUAAAAACUCACUUUUUUUGACAGAAAGUAACAGCUUCAGCAUAUAAUUUGAUGUUUCACAAGGUUUAAACAUUAAAAAAACUCUAAAUUAAAAACAAAACAAAUCUUAUAGACUAGUCCUGCC